rnacentral:rRNA from 1 species
GCUAAACGCGAAGAACCUUACCCAGGCUUGACAUGCACGUGAUCGCGCUAGAGAUAGCGCUUUCUUUCGGGACACGUGCACAGGUGCUGCAUGGCUGUCGUCAGCUCGUGCCGUGAGGUGUUGGGUUAAGUCCCGCAACGAGCGCAACCCUUAUCAUUAGUUGCCAGCACGUUAUGGUGGGAACUCUAAUGAGACUGCCUAGGUUAACUAGGAGGAAGGUGAGGAUGAGGUCAAGUCCGCAUGGCCCUUAUGUCUGGGGCUACACACGUGCUACAAUGGCCGGUACAGAGGGAAGCAAAUCCGCGAGGUAGAGCAAAUCCAAAAAGCCGGUCUCAGUUCGGAUUGCAGUCUGCAACUCGGCUGCAUGAAGUUGGAAUCGCUAGUAAUCGCGGAUCAGCAUGUCGCGGUGAAUACGUUCCCGGGUCUUGUACACACC